rnacentral:misc_RNA from 1 species
UCCGGUUUGGCACCGGCGGUCUCCCUAGAGUUCCCGGCAUGACCCGCUGGCAACUAGGGACAGGGGUUGCGCUCGUUGCGCCACUUAAGGCAACACCUCACGGCACGAGCUGACGACAGCCAUGCACCACCUGUGCGGGCUCCGUAGAGCGCCGUGUUUCCACGGCUUCACCCCGCAUGUCAAGUCCUGGUAAGGUGGGGAGACGUGUAGGAGCUCGAC